CUACGGGGUGCAGCAGUGAGGAAUAUUGCGCAAUGGGGGAAACCCUGACGCAGCGACGCCGCGUGGAUGAUGAAGGCCUUAGGGUCGUAAAAUCCUGUCAGGUGGGAAGAAGUGGAUAUAGAUUAAUACUCUAUUUCUUUGACGGUACCACCAAAGGAAGCACCGGCUAACUCCGUGCCAGCAGCCGCGGUAAUACGGAGGGUGCAAACGGGUUCGGGAUUGACUGGGCGUAAAGCGCGCGUAGGCGGUUUGUUAAGUCAGAUGUGAAAGUCCAUGGCUCAACUAUGGAAGUGCAUUUGGAACUGGCAGACUUGAGUACUGGAGGGGGUGAUGGAAUUCCCGGUGUAGAGGUGAAAUUCGUAGAUAUCGGGAGGAAUACCGGUGGCGAAGGCGAUCACCAGGCCAGAUACUGACGCUGAGGUGCGAAAGCGUGGGGAGCAAACAGGAUUAGAUCCCCCAGUAGUC
rnacentral:rRNA from 1 species